GGGAAUGUGGCUUAGUGGUAGAGUACUUGCCUAGUAUGCAUGAAGUCCUAGGUUUGAUUCCUCAGUACCA
rnacentral:tRNA from 1 species